rnacentral:tRNA from 1 species
GGCAGUUUAGCUUAAAGGCAAAGCAUUGUGACCGGUAAUCACAGGGGUGUGAGUUCGAUUUUUAUGGCUGGCU